GGUCUUAGUCUAAUGGUUAAGACAUCCGAGUAGUAUCUUUGAGAUCCUGGGUUCGAUUCCCGGUGGGAGCG